rnacentral:rRNA from 1 species
UACAGAGGUCUCAAGCGUUGUUCGGAUUCAUUGGGCGUAAAGGGUGCGUAGGCGGCGCGGUAAGUCGGGUGUGAAAUCUCGGAGCUUAACUCCGAAACUGCAUUCGAUACUGCCGUGCUUGAGGACUGGAGAGGAGACUGGAAUUUACGGUGUAGCGGUGAAAUGCGUUGAUAUCGUAAGGAAGACCAGUGGCGAAGGCGGGUCUCUGGACAGUUCCUGACGCUGAGGCACGAAGGCCAGGGGAGCAAACGGG